UAUCCUCACAGGUGGGGUGUGCAUCAGGCCUGGAUGGAGCAGUGGGUAUCAGCAGACUCUACUCCAGGCCAGUGCCUGGCCUGUGCAGAAGCUACAGAGACGGCGCUCCUGGACACAGAUGGGGAGGGAGGUCUUGCUGACUACUCUAGGCAAUCCCAGAGCAUUCCAGGUGGCACGGAGGACCCAGUAAAUGGCCCAGUUGCUGGAAUCUUGGCUUUUGUACUCACUGGAAGGAGAACUCUCGCCUCUGUGCAGUU
rnacentral:lncRNA from 1 species